rnacentral:tRNA from 1 species
ACGACCCUAGCUCAACUGGCAAGAGCACCGGAGUACCAAUCUGGAGGUGGCGGGUUCGAAUCCCGUCAGCUGUC